CUGACCUUUACACUGUCACGUUGAUCAUUGAGUGUGGUCUUUCCUGGGAGAGGCACGCCCUGUUUGAGGCCUCGAUCUGCAGCUGAGGCUAACCCUUAAGUGGCUGGCAGCUUGAAGCUGUCCACUGGGCCCUCCCAACAGCAGGGGUAAAAAGUGCGGGAUGUGGGUAGCACACACCUGUGUCCAUCACAUGGAGCGUGUGAAGCGCAAUCACCAGAAUGUAGUGGCUGAGGCAGGGGACCUGAGAUUCUAACUGCUUCCUAUUAGGACUCUUGACCAGGGUCCUGUUUUCUUCAUGAUUUUCACACUGCCCCUUGGCACCUGGACUCUGAGCUCUUCUGGGCUGCUGUAUGUGAGAACCGGCUCAUGACUCAUGAGCAUCGUCCUCUGCAGGUGCAGAGAUUUCAGAGUUUCCACUCUGCUAGUGAAUUAGAAAUGAGGGUGCUGCUUAUCUCUUUCAAUUGUUGAGGAUGCUUUGAUAUUUCCGUCCCACAACUAUUCUCCUCUCCAAAAAUUCUUUGUUACCUUGUUCUUUUACAAUUUUAAACACCCUUUUGGAGCUCUUUUCAAAGAGUUUUUUCAGGAAAGAAAUAACGAUGUCACAGGUGAAACAGGCUUAGUCUAAAGAGGAAGGAAGCUUGUCUCUCCAAUUACCUUCCCUGCAGACUCUUGGCCUGGAUCGAUGCAAUCAGCCUGGUCUUGACCGGUGCCUACCCUGCAGAGCAGUGCAGGAACUACCACCGGGUCACGUGGCAUCGCUGUCUGGGACACCGUGCUGUGGGUCACAGGGCCCUGUGCUCUUCUACUUUUGUGACUCUGAUGUUUUCUUCAAGCACAAAGAAUUGGAAUUGGGCAGAACUGAGGUGUCAGUGCGAGCAACUGGAGGCCAGAAGAGAACCCAGUGGUGGAGAGUGGCCAUGGAUGAACACUUUAAAGAAGCAGGAUCAACUUAGUGUGUAAUGAAGGUUAUCGAUUAAAUACAAAUUUGAAUAUGAAAAAUUAAAGAAUUGGAAUUGGGGUCACUGAGAAGCUGACAGUGAGAUGACGUCAAGCACGUAAACUAAAUGGACAUGUUAGAGAGGACUGGUGUGGACACCAUGAAUGAGCUGGCCGACCCCUGGUCUAAAUGAGAGAGGACCAGGACAGCGAGAAAGGAGAGGAGGAAAUGGACCAGGUGGUUAGGGCCAUCCAGGUAGCAGCGGCUGCAGGAGGAUAUUGACUUCCUGAACGUCUACUGGUUGAUUUAGAAAACACAGGAGUGUAGCAAAUGUUUUUGCCCUGUAGACACAACAAUAAGUUGUCUAAAUUAAUUAUUUUCAAUCAGUUGUAAUAUCAUGAAGUUGUAACUUAAGACCAAUAAUAUUAUGCAUUUUAAAAAGGGCUUUAUACCAUUUUCACCAAGUUUAAAGCAAGUAAAUAGAACUCCUCCAUACAUAUUGGAAUUUUUUAAGCACCUUCAUGGGUGCUAAGGGUGUAAUUUCUUACUUUUUCUUUUUAAAUGCUAUUAAAAAAUACAAGUAAUAAUGCAGAGGGUUUAAAAAAAAAUCUCAAUAGCACAAAGAUGCACAGUGAAAAGCGAAUUCCAUUCCACCUCAGUCUCCUCGUUCCUUAGUUUGCCAGUCUUCUCCAGGAGUAAUUUAUUUUGCAGUUUCUUCCACUUCCUGUCCAUGGAUAUCUAACAUGUCUGUGUAUAGAGCUCCAAUUUGUUUAACUCACAUCUACAAACUGCACUGUAUCUUCCUUUUGCUAGUUAAUAUAAUUGGAGUUGGUUUCAUAUCAUUUUCUAUAGCUCUCUCUUAUUAAUAGCUGCAUAGCAUUCUAAUAGAUGGAUGUUACAAUAAAUCACUGUGUACAAACAUCUUUACACACAUAUUACUGGAUUUCUAUGAGAAAAAAGUGGAAUUUCAGAGCAGAGGAUAUUUGUAUUUUAAUUUGACAAAUAGUUGACUUUCAAAAGUUAAACUAAUUUAUACCAUCACCAAUGAUAUAUCAUAGUAUGUUUUAUUUAUUUUUUGUGUUUUUGUGAGGAAGAUUAGCUCUGAGCUAACAUCCAUGCCAAUCUUCUUCUAUUGUGUAUGUGGGACACCGCCGUAGCAUGGCUUGAUGAGUGGUGCAGGUCCAUGCCUGGGAUCCGAACCUGUGAACCCUGGGCUGCUGAAGCGGAGCAUGUGAACUUAACCACUACACCACAGAGUGGGCCCCCAUUGUGUGUUUUUUAAUCUUUCUCAAAAUCAUGUAAGAGUCAACUUUAAGUCUUUGCCAGACUAAUAGAU
ensembl:lncRNA